UACGUAGGGUGCAAGCGUUAAUCGGAAUUACUGGGCGUAAAGCGUGCGCAGGCGGUUUUGUAAGUCUGUCGUGAAAUCCCCGGGCUCAACCUGGGAAUUGCAUUUGUGACUGCAUCGCUGGAGUGCGGCAGAGGGGGAUGGAAUUCCGCGUGUAGCAGUGAAAUGCGUAGAUAUGCGGAGGAACACCGAUGGCGAAGGCAAUCCCCUGGGCCUGCACUGACGCUCAUGCACGAAAGCGUGGGGAGCAAACAGG
rnacentral:rRNA from 1 species